UACAUUUUGGUGUAAGAAGCACAAGAAUUUUUGAUAUUCUGGGAAUUAGUUUAAUUCUAUUGAAUGUAA
rnacentral:tRNA from 1 species